rnacentral:rRNA from 1 species
AACGAACGCUGGCGGCAUGCCUAACACAUGCCAGUCGAACGAGACCUUCGGGUCUAGUGGCGCACGGGUGCGUAGCGCGUGGGAACCUGCCCUUAGGUUCGGAAUAACUCCCCGAAAGGGGUGCUAAUACCGGAUAAUGUCUUCGGACCAAAGAUUUAUCGCCUUUGGAUGGGCCCGCGUUGGAUUAGCUAGUUGGUAGGGUAAAAGCCUACCAAGGCGACGAUCCAUAGCUGGUCUGAGAGGAUGAUCAGCCACACUGGGACUGAGACACGGCCCAGACUCCUACGGGAGGCAGCAGUGGGGAAUAUUGGACAAUGGGCGAAAGCCUGAUCCAGCAAUGCCGCGUGAGUGAUGAAGGCCUUAGGGUUGUAAAGCUCUUUUACCCGGGAUGAUAAUGACAGUACCGGGAGAAUAAGCUCCGCUAACUCCGUG